rnacentral:lncRNA from 1 species
UAGUGGCGUAGCCAGGAAAAAAUAAUAAGAGUAUUGUUGAACCCUGUCAGGGAGGGCCAGCCCACCAUAAUACAUUAUUUCCAUAGAAAAUAAUCACUUGUUCAUAUGUAUAUUAAGCUUAAGUUAAUUGUGUUAGGGGAGAUGCCUCUACUGCCCCCUGUCUCCGCCACUGAGAGCAGGUACCGGAAAAUGCACAAAUUUGAGUGAACCUCAUACGUACAUUCUUUAAGAGGAGUUGUACUGAAGGAUCGGAGAUAACGACAAGGUGCUCAAGCAUAUCUUUGAGCAUCACAAAUAAUUCUGCAUACCACAAAAAAGAUGUUCCAUGCAUGAAAAUUGGCAAGUAUUAAAAUUUCGUGCUGAGGUGCAAGUGGUGCAUGUUUCCAUCUUCAGCACCUUGCAACAUCUUCAAUCACAGUAGUCAG